rnacentral:rRNA from 1 species
GACGAACGCUGGCGGCGUGCCUAAUACAUGCAAGUCGAACGCAGUGGGGACGGGUGAGUAAACCGUGGGUAACCUCCCAUCAGAGGGGAAAACACUUGGAAACAGGUGCUAAACCCAUACUGAUGGAUGGACGCUCGGUGCAUUAGCUAGUUGGUGAGGUAACGGCGCACCAAGGACACGAUGCAUAGCCGAUCUGAGAGGUGGAUCGGCCACACUGGGACUGAGACACGGCCCAGACUCCUACGGGAGGCAGCAGUGGGGAAUCUUCGGCAAUGGACGAAAGUCUGACGGAGCAACGCCGCGUGAGUGAAGAAGGUUUUCGGAUCGUAAAGCUCUGUUGUUAGAGAAGCGGUAUCUAACCAGAAAGCCACGGCUAACUACGUGCCAGCCGCCGCGGUAAUAC